rnacentral:rRNA from 1 species
AUUUAUACUAGGUUAAUUCUGCCCAGUGUAAUUAUUAACGGCCGCAGUACCUUGACUGUGCUAAGGUAGCAUAAUCAAUUGGCUAUUAAUUGUAGUCUAGAAUGAAAGGAAUAUUGGAUAUUAGCUUUAUUAAAAAAAUUAUAAUAAACUUAUUCAUUAGGUGAAAAUACCUAUAUUAAUAAAAAAGACGAGAAGACCCUUAGAAUUUUUAAAAAAAAUAAUUUUAAAAUUAUUAAUUUUUUGUUGGGGCGACAAAAAAACAUAUAACUUUUUUAUGUAGUAUAUAUCAAAUACGACGAAAUUUUUAUGAGUAACUAAAUUACCUUAGGGAUAACAGCAUAAUGAUAUAAAUUAGUUUGUGACCUCGAUGUUGGACUAGGAAUCUUUAAACUAGCAGUUUAAAAGAAAUGUUCUGUUCGAACAAU